rnacentral:lncRNA from 1 species
UUGUGCAUAUUUCACUCAUUUUUGAGCUGGUUUUGACUAAUUGUCACCUUUUUUACCAAACCCUGCAUCAAAGUACAACAUGUAAGCCUUUGGAUUAUUUUGUAUACAUUUUUAAUCAAAACUUAAGUAAAAAGAGUGUAAAAUGGACUAGAAUCCCUAUUUAUCAACUACCCUCCGCAAACUCCACUUAUGAAAUUAUAUUAAAUUUUUUAUUGUUGCUAUCAAAGCAUGAUUCUUUGCUUUUUAUUUUUGGAAGAAUUAGUUGGUUCAACCCCUGCAAGUCUUUUUUUGUUUAUUGGACCCCCUUUAUUCAAUAAAAAUGCUAAAACUAAAUUUAAGUGUGAUCGUGGGCCUUUGUGUAUUUUCAAACUUCUCGGGUAAACUUACUCAGAAACUAAAUAAAAAUUAAUUAUAUGUGUAUACGGGUAAAAUCGGGGCUAGUGAGCACCUCGAUUUUUCGGUGGGACAAACGAAGCAAGGACAUAACUACACAAAAUCGAUAGAAGCCAGGAACCCGAUCUUGUACUAAGGCAUGAACAAAGCGCUUACCACCGAGGCAUCGAGAUAACACCCUCCCUCCCCGAAUUCGGUUCGGGAUCCAAGACAUUGGAAGGCAAAAUGAAACGGUUGUACAUGAUUAACGAAGGGCCGCGAUAUCCGCGCUCAACCAGAUAUCACAGCGUAGAUCUCGACCCGUAUCGAUGGCGGAUUAGUGAUUAACGAAAAAGAAGAUUUUUACCUUUUAUAGAAUUGUACUUAAGGUACAACUCCCCUACUAUAUAAGCGGGAAGUUUAUUGUUAUACACAUGUUGUAACAUGCAUAUCAAGGCAAUAUAGACUUAUUUUCUGUGUUUCUAAGCUAUUCAAAGGUUCUUAUUCUUGUUCAUAGCUUUACAUAUAUAUUUUGCAUCUGAAUUGAAGGCAGACGAAUUGUUAAAGCUCACAACCGAGCUCGGACUCAAUAUUACAACUGGUUAUGCUAUUUAUUUUAUCUUUAAUUUGGUUAUCUAAUUUUGUUGAUCACUUGUAUUGGAUUAAUCCACAUAUCCUUAAAAUCACGUAUAAAUUCAAUUAUUAUCUAUUUUUAAGGGUAAAAAGUUUGGCCCCUGAUAAGUUGGAAUUUUAACCAUUAUUUGCUUUCUUUUACUUGCGUUUUGGGCUUAAAAUGCAUAAAGGUAAUCCCGAAAAUUGAUCUAAUGUGCUUGCUUGCAGGGAUUGUUCACAAAGUAGCCAUGAUCAACUCAUAAAGGAGUAAAAACUUGAAUAAAGACCAAGACUAGGCCAAGAGCUGUGGAACGCAGACCGCGACAGAAAAGUGCAGGCGUUAAAGUAUCAACGCAGACGCGGUCAUAAUUACGCGGUCUACGAAAUGAAGAAUCAGAGAGGUUGUUUUUUGCCACAAAUAUGAACGCAGAUCGCGUCAGAAAGAGGCAGCCACGAAAGUACCACUGCGGCCGCGAUUGGAAUUCCGUGGAACGAAGUUUCCAACAUUCAGAGAGUUCACAAGUGAUGCAAAAGUGAGAAGGGCGGUCUGCAUCUAAAUUACGCGGUCGUGGAUGUCUCUUACACGGACGCGGUGGUAAGUAUGUGGUCCGCGAAACAAGGUUCAACCGAGACCCAGAUGUGAAGAAACGUGGAACGCGAUCAGAAUUACGUGGCCAUGAAAGCAAGAGUGCGGUUGCGGUCAAAAUUACCCGGCCGCGAAACCUCCGCAAGGGUAUUUUUGUUUGAAAAUUUUAGCUUAGUAUAAAUAGAUCUUUUUGACAUUUUUUGGUUAAGUUUGUUUUUGUUGAGCAUGUGAGACUGCUGCAAGUUCCAUUUCGGGCAAUUUUGUAUUAAAUUCAACUUUUAACAUUAGCUUUUUAUCUUUUAAUUCAGUAUUAUCGAAUUUCUUUAUUUCAUCUUUGAUUUCUGUUAUUUCCAUGAGUAGUUAAACCCAUAGCUAGGGUUUGUGACCCAACCCUAGUGUGGGUAUUUGAUGGGUUUUAAAUUUUAGGGCUUGAAUGUAUAUGGAUUAGUAGUAUUUAGUCUAGUUCUUGCUAGAACUAUGGAAUUAAUGGUUGCAAAUACUGAUUUAUGCCUUUAUGACUUAGUCUCUGCUCGAGAAAGAGGGACUAAGUAUAGGAAAACUAGACUAACAAGGAAUUGGAGUGAACUCAAGAAAUUGAUAGCCUUAAUUAAAGGGUUAAACUUAGAGAUAGUAAUACCCGACUUGAGCUAAAAUCACUUGAAUUGCAUGAAUACUCAUUUGGACUUGAGAAAACCAAAUUGAGAAAAAUCACUCAAACUACCGAGAGGUAUAGAGUGAUUACCUGGGUGUGAUAGCUAUAUUACGAUCCCAAUUAAUUACAUGAUUGUCCUAGAUUCUUGCUACCCGUUAAAUAUCCACCUAGGUGGAAGUCACUAUCCUAGUCCAUUUAAAUCCUUGAAAAUCAACAACAAAAACAUUGUACUUAGUUUCAAAUACUUCAUGCUAUAGAAUAUAAGUAGAAGUAGAAAACAAACCAACCAUUUGUGGAACUGCAAUUAAGAGCAAAAUCCGCAUCUUUACUUUGAUAUAAACCUAACUCCAAACAAAUUAACUCCCAGUGAAUUCGAUCCCGACCUUGUUGGGUAAAACUGCAUCGACCAUCAUUGCUACUCAAUAGUAGUGCAGGCUUGGACCCGAUCAAUUUUUGGCGUUGUUGCCAUGGAGUUAGACAGUUUUAGCUAUAUAUUCGAGUAUUUGUGUGUUUUGUUUUUCUUUCCUUUCAUUUUCUAAUUUGUUUGUGAAUUGCUUUUAGGUACCUAAUGGCUCUUAACAAUGACGCCCUCGGAAAUUCUUUCCAUUGGAGGAGGAGAUAGAUAAUGAUUAUGUGGAUGAGAAUUAACCUGAACCUCAAGAACAAAGGAGAGGCCGACCACCUCAAGAUAAUAUUACAAACCCUCUCCCACCUCCAGCAAGGGCAGCACACCGGGUGUUGCCCAACGAAGACUAUGCAAGUGCAAUAGUCCCGACCCGAAUUGGGGCGGGCAACUUUCAAAUAACCAAUGUCAUGCUUACACUCUUGGAACAGAGGGGUUUCUUCACCGUAGCUCCACACCAAAACGCCUACAAGCAUCUCAAAGGUUUAAUUGAUAUGUGGUCGGGGAAAAAGCAAACUAAUAUCUCCGGGACACAUUGUGAUUAAGGCUUUUCCCAUUUUCUCUAGGGGAAGGCUUUGUAUUGGCUAGAAAGGUUGCCUAACCAUUCCAUCACCACUUUGGAUGAGUUGGCCGAAAAGUUCAUUGCAAAGUUCUUUUCUCUGAGAUAUAUGGCGACGCUAAGAGAUGAGAUCCUUGCUUUUAAACAAGAGCCAAAUGAACCGCUUCAUGAGAUUUGUGAAAGGUAUCGAACGAUGGUUAAAGAGUGUUAGAAUAAUGAUAUGACAGAAGCCAUGAUCCAAAAAACAUUCUACCGUGGAAUAAAUACAACAAACCAAUGUGUGGUUAUCCAACUUGCCCGAGGGAACUUCAUGAACACGCUGUCACACCUCCUUUUUCCUACCCCAAAAAGGGGUAUAAGGGAGUUUUUUCCAAUUUAAGUGACAAUCGAAACGGGAUUAUUUAUUAAAAUCAUAGUCCCCACUUGGGAUAAUUUAUGGUGUCCCAAGUCACCGGUUAAAAUCCUGAAUCAAGGAAAUUGACUCUUAAUUAUGGUCUGCGAACACAUAAAUUCGAGUAAGGAAUUCUAUUAACCCGGGAGAAGGUGUUAGGCAUUUCCGGGUUAAGUGGUUUUAGCACGGUCGCUUCGGUCAUACUUGGAUUAAUCAAAUUAUCUAAUUACUUACUUUUAGAUCCUAUGUGCAUUUGCCUUUUUUAAUUAGAAAAUUAUCUUGAAAGGGGUCAUGCGUACGUGUACCCGUUUGUUUGGCGCGUCAAAAAUUAUGUCCCGUGAACGUGUCCACAAUUAAUAACGCUUUAUUAUUAUUAAGAAAAUUUGGCCAAAGUUGCGCGAACGCAUACUCCGGUUUUGUUCUUAGAAAUCAUAGUCAUGUCACGCGAACGUGUCCACAACCACGAUAAUAUAUUAAACGUGCCUAAAGCAAACUACGAACAUGCAUCAUUUUUGUAUCUAGGCUAUGAAAUUAAUACGAGGGCCAUGGAUCAUUAAAUUGUGGAUGGAACACCUCGAACUAUAUGAACUAAAUUAAUUAGCGGCUCAUUAGCAACCAUUUUAUUACUAAGAAAGUUUGAUAAAGUUGCGCGAACGCAUACUCUGAAUUGGUUUUUAGAAUCGUAAUUAUGUCAUGCGAACAUGUACACAAUCACAGUAGUAUUUGCACAUAUCUAUGUCACAAAAUGAAACCUUACUUAUUUAUUUUUUUCAAAUCAUUUAAGAAUUGUUAAAACAAUAACAGAACUCAGCAAUUAAAAUCAUCACUUUUUAACUCAAAUUAAUCCAAGAACAUGCCAAAUAUUAAGCCGAUAAAUCAGAACUCUUCCAAACUCUUUUAAGUAAUAACUCAAAACCCCAAAUGAGCAUUAAGCACUCUAACAAUGUUUGUGAAUUGGUCGUUCCCAUGCAAAAGAUUAAUAAGAGGAAAACAAGUCAUGGAAGUCCAAUACGAUUACAUCAAGUAAGGAAAACAAGGGUUCAAAAUAAAUUUUCAAAAGCACACCAACGACACUCUAUUCAAGUCAUAUGGGAGUUUAUUUCCAUUUGAUUAUAAGCACCUAAACAGACUAUAUACAUGAGGCAAUUUCAAUGAAUAUCCAUGCGGGAAUUAGAAUCAUAAAUCAGGAAUCAUGUAUCAAUUUAAAGGAGACCAAGUUAACAAAAAUGCUAAAGAAUCAAACCUUUAAUGCAGCAAAAGAUUUUUCAUUAACAAAAACUCCAUGAAUCUACAUAAAAGAUUUGACCAGAAAGCUUCGCCGGAGCUCCAGCCUCGCCGGAAAACGGCUAUGGUUAUAGUGUGAUGCAGCUGGAUUUAUUGUAUUUUAAGGGUUGUUUUGAACUAGAGUUUGGGGUACCUUCGACAGAGAUGUUGGAGUUGCCUUGAUGGUGCAAAUGGGAGCUUUCAAUGGCUGGUUUUCAUGGCUUCUUUGAGCUGGAGUUUAGGUGAUGUUCAUGGCUCGUUUUAGAGGUGUUUCAAUGGCUCCAUGGAUGUGUUUUUGUAGUGGUAUAGUGCUACUUCCGGCUUAUGUCAAAUGAUGUUUUUUACUGAUUUUGAUGGUUUAUUGGAGAAGAUGAAGGGAGUGGAAAGGCUACUGCUACUACUAGGAUACCCUCUUAGCUCUCCAAAAUGAAGAAGAUGAGUGUGUGUGUUUUAUGAAAUCUGCCCAGCCCCUCCCGUUCCCCAGAUUUUUUUUGGCG